rnacentral:rRNA from 1 species
GACGAACGCUGGCGGCGUGCCUAAUACAUGCAAGUCGAACGCAGUGGGGACGGGUGAUUAACACGUGGGUGACCUCCCAUCAGAGGGGAUAACACUUGGAAACAGGUGCUAAACCGCUACUGGUGGAUCGACCCGCGGGGGAUUAGCUAGUUGGUGGGGUAACGGCUCACCAAGGCCACGAUGCUUAGCCGGCCUGAGAGGGUGAGCGGCCACACUGGAACUGAGACACGGCCCAGACUCCUACGGGAGGCAGCAGUGGGGAAUAUUGCACAAUGGGCGCAAGCCUGAUGCAGCCAUGCCGCGGGUAUGAAGAAGGCCUUCGGGUUGUAAAGUACUUUCAGCGGGGAGGCGUUACCCGCAGAAGAAGCACCGGCUAACUCCGUGCCAGCAGCCGCGGUAAUAC